GUUGCCGCUGAUCCCCUCCUCCAUCUCCCUCCCUCAAACGCCGCCGCCCGUCGCUGCCGCCGCGGCCACCUCCCGUCGCGGCCGGCCCCGCCACCUCCCGUCGCGGCCGCCGCGCCCAGCUCCAACCGGGGCCGCCGCCCCAGCUCCAGCCGCGGCCGUCGCGCUCACCUCCAGCCACAGCCGCCGCCCCACCUCCAGCCGCGGCUGCCGCCCCCACGUCCCACCGCGGCCGCUGCCCUGCCCCCUCAAGCGUCCUCAAGUGCGGCAAGGGCCUCAAGCUGCAGAAGCGCCUGGCCUCGAGCGUCCUCAAGUGCGGCAAGGGCAAGGUCUGGCUCGACCCCAAUGAGGUUAACCCACCCCCUUCCUCUCUCUCCCUCGUCGCGUGUCUCGAUUUUCUCGCGUAUUCCGUAGAUCUGUGGGCAGGUGGUGCUCCACGCGGUUUAGGUGAUUCGAGGCGGGUAGAUCCCUGCUUGCUUGUGCGGCGCUUGCUCAUAGAUCACAUGAGCAGCCUUGGGUUGCUUUGGUGGCGGUUUAUUUCUUGCGCUUGUGACGAUGCAAUUCGACCCUGAUUCCUGGCCUUGCGCUGUUCUUGAUGCCCGCUGCUGCUGUUCCUGAUGCCCGCUGCUGCUGCUGCUUUCAUGGCGGUUUAUUUCUUUGAUAUCAGGAAGGAAUUCAGGAUGAACAGGAUGCCGUCAUCCCUUCUUGUUGAUGCUUUGUUCAUCACAUCAGGAUUCCUGUUGUCGCAUGGAUUCGAUUGGUGUCUAUGGAUGUCUCUUUCUGCAUGUGUGCACAUGUCCCAGUGGAUUUUGCAGCUGUGCACCAACUUAUUUUUGGCGACCAAACACCAUCGUUUGUAAAUUAAUUCACCGUUACUGUUGCUGUUUUGAUCCAAAUUAGAGUGAGUCCUGAAAUCUGUUGUUCUAGGAGUUGAGUCCUAUUUGGCGUGCAUUCCUAACUACAGAAAUCUGUUGUCCCCAAAUCUGUUGUUCGAGGAUGUAGAGCUCCGGGAGUGCGGCACCGAUGAGGAACCUGCCCACGAUGUGUGCGGCAAGGAGGAGGUGCUCGGGGCCGAGGAAGACGGGCGCGGAUGGGUUGGGCUUCCCGGGGCGUUGCGGGAAGGCGAGCGUAGCCAGGAGGAGUAGGUAGGGAAAGGAUGGCGGCUCGCCGACAGGUCAUCGACGCCUCCUUGAACCAAUGCCAAGGAGGUCUAUGUCGCAGCUUUGAAGGCGCCUGACAAGCCCAUCGUCGCGCCGCCGACCUGCUGACAUUCGAGGUCGGCACCCGUGCGAACUCAGAAAUGUACAAAGGACUGGCAUGUGUCAUCUAUAGCAUGUCCCCUUUGUUUGAAUGUUCAACUAGAAGAGUUUCAUCUCAUUUGGCAAGGAGCACUGCAAUAAUACAUGCAACUCUUCACAGCUACUAACAUGAAGUUGCACUCAGGCUCUCGCAUGGACUAAAGAGUUAUUGUCGGUAUGUAUCAUUGUUUAAUUUUUAAAGUCUAUAGGUUUAUUUAUAUGGCAAGUAUUGAUCUCAAGGACAAGAUUGAUGUAACUACUGUCACCCAUUCAAAAAUUUCUUUAGAGGAAUUACAACAGGUAUUUUGCUGACCUGAACAUUGAAAUAAUGAGUACAAAAGGUUCAGGGCAUAUGCGAAUAAUUGAAUUUUGUAUUUGCGGACAAGGGAGAAAUGCCUAAAUUAGAAGGCAGAGUAGAAUUUUAUACUCUGUUGUUGCAGUGUGGCUUUUGGGAAUAAUUAGCACGAUUAUCCCAGAGGUGAAACUUAGACACCACCAUGGAUUUGUCUGGCUAUGAAUCAUGGUCAUGAAAUACGUUCAUGUUGUUCCCUUUCCAGAUGCUUUAGAACAGACCAGCGAUGAUGCUGGAAUAAGAGGUUCUCAAUUCCCUUUUAUGUCAUAGUUCAUAAUACAACACACAUAUACUGCAACCUCUUAAAUUAUAAAAGUAUUGUCUCAUAGAUUAUAAAAUUUCAUGAUAUCAAAUUGUAUGUACUGCAAAUUUUCUCCUUUUUACUGCCUGCUUGAUUGUAUAAAUAGAAUAACUAGAUAAUGAUGCUCCAUGCAUUACUAGAGCUGUUGAUAGCUUCUCCACCUAGAUUAUUUUACACUCCCUUGUUAGGAGAAUUUAGCUUAGAUAUUUAGGUGCAACACAUGUACUGCGAAGCGAGAUAUUUAGUUUGUUUUUCUUGGGUAAACCAUACUCUCGACAUUCCACAACCUCUACUACUAAAGGUAUAAUUUGAUUACUUAACUUCAUACUUUUACCAUAAAUCUCUGGAAAAAAAUUAAUUGAUUGUUAAAAGUCAUGUGCUGCUGCAUUGGACUAUGAGCUUGAAAAAAGAGCACCUACCUAAUACCUACAGAGGUGGCCAAUCCUUCCAGUGACCUAUAUAUGUAAGUAUGUAAGUUAGGCUCGAUUCCAAGUUAGCCUAUACUAUUUCUGUCACCACUUGCAAAUAUAUUUUAAUAUAAUAGAACUCCUAUAGUUGUCUUCAAUAGAGAGGGAAUAAAUCUCUAACGAAUAUUUUGGUACAUUCAUGCUAUCUAUCUUUUGCAUUUAAAAUAGAACAUGCAAUAGGCAGUCAUAGCAAAUCUAUAUACUGCAUAAACCUUUACUUGAAAUGAUUAAAUCACAUAAAUUGUCCCGUCCAUUAUAAUUGAUGAUGUCUAUACAAUCAACCCAGCAAACAAAUAUUAGGCCAAAUGAUCACACACAGAACCAACAAAAACCUUAGUUCCAUAUGAAGCUGCCUAACAGAAUCCAUAACAUACAUCGACUAAUAAAGCUUCAGCCUGCUUCAAUUUAAUAGUAGAGCGCGUUCAGGAAUCAAAAUCAUGCAAAUUGGUUAUUUAUUGUAGUUGGAAAAGAACUAUUGUUAAAGCAGAGCCUGCGGUUAAGAAGUUCAUAAGUCUUAGACGCUUCUUUUUGGCGUAUUGAAUGUGCAGGAAUUGAUACAAUAAAGUUUCAAUAAGAUGUCAUCAUUAUAUCCAUUGUCAAUUUAGCUGAUCAUUUUUUAGCAAAAAUUCUACGAAACUUGUAACGUAUCGUGUUGAAAAUCUGUGAGGAAUAGUUAAUGACCCUUUGACCCAAUACACUUUGAUCAUUGAUAAAUUUCUAUGUGUUAGUUGUCCCGUGACACGGAUCACUUGUUCCUGGAACUUCCCUAGCUGAAGGAGAAACUGGAGAAGUACAUUGACGAGGCCUCGGCGACUGGAUCAUGGAGCCCAAACGUGCUUCGCACCACCACGGAUGCUUGAUUGAAAGAAGGGUUGGAGCCUCGCUGCAUCACCAGGGAUUUGAAAUGGGACGUCCCUGUCCCACACGAGAAGUACAAGGAUAAGGUUUGCCAUCUGAGCACACAGAGAUUCAUUGUGAAAAUUUAUCUCUCUCCAUGUUGUAUUAAUGUUUGUCCAUGUGAUGAACCGUUCCCAAUUAGCUUGGCCAUCUGCAUUAGUCAUGAUUUGCUACUGAUUCUUUUUGGUUUAUUAUGUAUCUUUGACUAUCCAACUCCAUGGACAUGUUUUUAUUUUCCUGUUGUCUUGAGAGCACACAUAUGGAACUGUGCAGGGCAUGUUGAGCUAUACAUGGAGUAUAUAUCUAUUGAGUUCUGCAGUUAUUUUCAAUUUCGAUGGUGGAAAUGAUUUAAGGAUAAGUUGGAGGAAUGCCUCGAAGAUGUUUUAUAAUCUUUAAAAAUAGUGGAUGGUCUGAGGUACUGCAUCUUUUGCCUUUUAUCUGAACACUUGCAGCCAAAAAUUUUAUCCCACUGUGAGUUGUUUUGUGCACAUGCUGCGUUAUGUGUAGAUAUGGAUGAGGAAAAUUCCGUGCCUACAACAUUAUUUGUGUCUGACCCUGUCCGAGGAUCCUGUGGCAUGCUCUGAUUUGUUUCAGAGUUCGGAUGUUUCGAUGUUGUGCAUCGUGUGCUUUUGAGGCAGCAGAAGGUUGUACACAUAUCAACGUCUAUGGGUGAAGAUAUCCUACCAUAUCUAGAACCGCACAAGGCGCUUGUGCCUGAUGCCCCUUUCCUCCAUGUCCGUGAGGAGAAUCCCUAUAGUAUGCAGGUAUUUUGUUAAUCCCCUCUUAUAUUAUUUAAAUCUCAGCAAGACAACCACAUAUGAGGCAGGAACUGCAACGACCAUUGUCUUCUAUAUCUGCUUGUGUUAACUUCCAUUACUUUUAGCAUGUGGGAUAUAUGAUGUGAGGGAACGAACAUGCCAUAAGGCACAUGUGAGUCCCCUAGGUGCUCUUUGUAUUACUAUUCUUCUUAUUCGGCUGGUUUUGAUCUUCUUAAUCCUUUUCGCAUUAAUACCGUUUGUAGUUUGUGAGAUCUUUCUCUGACCACAUGCAAGCUCCACCAUCCCAUUCUUUGUUAUUUUAUUUCCAACUUUAAGACGAUUUUAUCUUUCAAACCAAAAGUACAAUUUAUGAUCCGUUUGCAUAUUGUGAUUAUGACGAGGAGAACUUCAAAACAACACCACUUCUGAAUGUGUCUCAGCAUGUUCUAAAAAAAUCAAAUUCUAAAACACAAUGAAACACUAUUAAAAGUACAGAAAACUAUGAGAUAUUUUGUCAAACACGAUAAAAGUUCAAAGUUCUGUUAGAAUGACUCAUUAUUGAAUUGUUGCAUCAAAUUAUUAAAUUUAUAUGAAACAAAUUUGAAGCAUAUGUGAGUUUAUAGGAUAUAUGUUUUAUUAAUCUAUGUACACAAAGCCAAUGUUUUUAACAAAAAGAAAGAUUAUGCUUAUACUUCAUUAUGCAUCCUGUACAUAUAUAAUGGUAUAGAUAAUUCCAUUGCGUGUGAAUGAACGGCGCAUUGAGAAUGGCGCCAGAACAAAACCAUGGAAGCGAACUCCUUUUGCUUGUAUCACAAAUUUUGUGCCAUGGUGCAAAAAGAGAGCAAGUGCAUGUGUAUGUUCAGAUAUGGUGAAACCAAAUAAGGUUGCAACUAACAUGUUAUAUUGACUUUCAGUUAUGAACCUUAUGACUCUGAUGCUCUCAAGUUUGGCAACAGUUUGUACUAAGGGCCUGUUCGGCAAUGCUCCGGCUCUCAACUUCCAUUAACUCCGCAGUGAAGUUGAGCCGAACGAGCAAACUCCGUGGAGCUCAAAUCAAGAAGCUGGCUAUUCUGUUAGUGCAAAUUUGAGUAGUAGUUUAUAUUGUAUGUAUAUUGUUGGGUAGUAGUUUUUCCCACUAGAUCUGAAUAUUAGGAAGGAUAUAUCUUGUAGCUGGUCAGAUUCAGAACUCAUGUCGUGAUUUCUUAAGGGCCUAAUGAUUGUUGUUGUUUUUUCCUUUCAAAAAUUGAAACUCCUAGGUGAUUAUCGUAACUAUCAUAAUUGUAUAAGCAAGAUUAUCAGAAUAACUAAGCAACUAUUUUAGACUCACUUUCUAUGCCAAGCUGGAAAAUUGACAUGCCUUAUGAUUAUAUAUGCAACCAGUAUUUUUUUUGAAAUGCCAGUGGCAACGCAUCCGUUACAUGUUUUGAGACCUAAGGCGUGAAAUUUUCAUACUAACUACAUAUAUUGUUUGUGCAGGAUGGGUAUGAUUUGAGGAAGCGGUUUUUAUCAUACUUGCUAAAACAUCGUGGGAAAUGAAGCUAAAGGCAAUUUUCCUGACAUUGUGAAAGAAUUUCUUAAGCGCAUCAUCUAGAUAUUGAUAGUUUUGUAAAAGAUGUUUAGUUGAAACAUCACUCAGUUUGUUACAUGGACAUGUCGUUAAUCUUUCUUUUUGUUAUCAAUUUACAUUGCAAAAAUAGACUUCAAUUAUUCAAUAAUUGUGUUUGUGUUAUAUUUUU